UACGUAGGGGGCAAGCGUUGUCCGGAAUUACUGGGCGUAAAGGGCGCGUAGGUGGCCUUCUAAGUUGAACGUGAAAUCCCUGGGCUCAACCCAGGAACUGCGUCCAAGACUGGGAGGCUUGAAUCCGGGAGAGGGAUGCGGAAUUCCUGUGUAGCGGUGAAAUGCGUAGAUAUAGGAAGGAAUACCAGUGGCGAAGGCGGCCUCCUGGAUCGAUACUGACGCUGAGGCGCGAAAGCGUGGGGAGCAAACAGGG
rnacentral:rRNA from 1 species